CAGGAAAGCCACCUGAUGAAGAUGGGAGGGGUGUUGGAGGAGAAUGAGCGGCUCAUCUAGGUCUACUCCCCAGAACCAGGACAGUGGCCCAGAUUGGAUUUGCCUGAAGACCCCUCGGGGAGAAAAAAGCAAGCAAGUGGAACUCUCGGAUCUGAACAACCCCCCUUAAAGAAGACAGCGCGAUUCCAUGCAUUACUUUUCCCAGGAGUAUGUGCACG
rnacentral:lncRNA from 1 species